AUGCAAGUCGAACGGAAAGGCCUCUUCGGGGAUACUCGAGUGGCGAACGGGUGAGUAACACGUGGGCAAUCUGCCCUGCACACCGGGAUAAGCCUGGGAAACUGGGUCUAAUACCGGAUAGGACCACUUGGCGCAUGCCUUGUGGUGGAAAGCUUUUGCGGUGUGGGAUGGGCCCGCGGCCUAUCAGCUUGUUGGUGGGGUGACGGCCUACCAAGGCGACGACGGGUAGCCGGCCUGAGAGGGUGUCCGGCCACACUGGGACUGAGAUACGGCCCAGACUCCUACGGGAGGCAGCAGUGGGGAAUAUUGCACAAUGGGCGCAAGCCUGAUGCAGCGACGCCGCGUGGGGGAUGACGGCCUUCGGGUUGUAAACCUCUUUCACCAUCGACGAAGGUCCGGGUUUUCUCGGAUUGACGGUAGGUGGAGAAGAAGCACCGGCCAACUACGUGCCAGCAGCCGCGGUAAUACGU
rnacentral:rRNA from 1 species